rnacentral:lncRNA from 1 species
GAACUUUAUUGGGAAAGCCUCCAUGCUAUCCAGUUUGACAGUUGGAGAGCUAGCUAGUCGAUGAAGGAAGCCUUUGUUACGUUCAGUCUGUAGACUCUGAUGACAAGCAGCCUUGAGAGGGGUUUUCCAGCCUCUACCUGGCAGACAGUUCCAGUAUUGGGGCGCUGAAGGUCCCAGAACAAGAAGAACUGGAGGAAGCUGGAUGGUGAGACUGGGAAGCACUUUAGUCAUUCAUUAAAUUGUUGCUGUUCUCAAGUUCGAUCUCCCACAGGAUUUCUGUUAUAGUUCCCUAACACAUCUGAUGAUAGCUGUCCUUCCCUAUACUCAAAGAUAGACACUGGUGUGUAUGUGAGUACAGACAUACACACACACUCACACAAACACACACCCACACAAACAUACACACAUACUCUCACAUACCCCCCACACACACACAGUUCACACACAUAAAUACACACACUUACACAAACACACACUCACAACUCACACACACAUAAGUACACACACACUCACACAUUUAAACACACGCACACACACACACACACACACACACACACACACACACACACACACGGGUGGGGAGAAGAGAACUUUACUUUUUGGAUAACCGCCUCUCUCUCUUAUGAACCAACUUCUAAAUCUACUUUUAAGGAGCACUGUAAACCUCCCUCCCAUGUCUGUCUGGCCACUAAAGGUGCUGCAUACCCACCCCACCUCUGCCUCCUUCCCAUCCCCAGAGCCUGCGGGAGGGUGGAGAAGAUACAGGCCUGGCUCCUGCAUGCUGGUCAUGGCCCUUAGGAACGGCCUUGGGUUUGUCAGGAGUACACUGGAGGGGCGAAAGCCAGGGCAGUGUGUAGAGACUUCUUUGGGCAGAAGAGAUGGUUCAGUGGUUAGGGUUAUGCACUUUUCUCCCAAAGAUCCUAGUGUUUGGUUUAGGGUGGAAGCUGAGAAAACUCACUUCAGAUACGGAAGCUUAAAAAUGAAAACUUUAUUUUCUGGCCACUCAGGAUGAAGGCCAGUUCGGGAUCUGAGCCACAUCCCCAAAGAGAGAUUGUAUAACCUUUUUAAGGGAUGAGAACACAAAGUGAGCGGGAAGCUGCAGUGUUAUCCGAUUCUAUUCUGACAUUAUGGGUUAAGCAAGGGAAAAGAGACUAGGCUUGUCUGGGGCACCUGGCUUCAGGGUCCUUAAUUCAUUCUCCUAGACAUUAGUUCCGGAGCUCAGAGUGAGAAGGGGACAAAGGAGCGGGUCAGCCGCACAUAGCUAAUUAGAGCAUAACAGGCAAUUGAUUGUAUAUUUUUACAACUUAUACACCUUGGUUUAGAUAAUAGCAGUUUCUAUAUUCUUCUGGGAACGUGAAAGUGUUUGAUCCUGCUGGCAAGACGGAAAAGUUGUCCCUGAGAUGGCUGGACUCAGACAACUGUUUACAAGAGAAGCUGUUCGGCUGUGGGGGAGUCCCCAGCUUCCCUGGGGCCUGGGACCUCGAGUGUAGUUCCUCCCUAUGGUUAGACGGAGGCUUAGUACUUAGAAUUCUUUUGCUUGUUCCCAGCGCUAGGGUAAGUACUGGACCCUCAUAAUCAUCUGUACAUAACUCCUGCACCAGGGGACUCCGUGAGCACCUGUACUCAUGUGUGUACAUUUCCACACAGACACUCUUUAAAAAAAAAAAAACUUGGAGGGAAACUUUGCUGACAGCCUAGGCGCGCAGUGAGUUCAAAGCCCGCUGGCCUUCAGUGUUGGACACGGCCAAGGCUGAUGGGAAGGAAACCAUUCUUUGCAUGUUGACUUGUGAGGAGGCCAGAGGUUAACCCCCCUUUCUCAUGGUGUCCUUUUGUGCUGGUCCCCACAUGUAACCCAGCCCUGUCCUACAGCUUGUGGGUCUUGUUCUCCCUCUUGCCACUGCAGUCCUCUGACCCUUUUCCUUGUCAAAGAUGUCACUCGUGGGCUCACUUCUGGAACCGACCUUCCCUCAGGAAGGACACCUGAUCGCCCAUGCCUUCCCGCCCAGGACCCUACCACACCUGUGCUGUGAGCUUCUUUGUCCUAACUCCCAAGCCCCCCAGCUUUAAAAGCUGUCUGACUGGCAUUCAUCAGUGGAAUCAAAAGUUCAGAUGUCAAGGACGCCAGACAGCACCCAGCAACCGCGGAGCAACACACGUGAAGUCUAGCUUCCUAACGCAAGUCUUUCUGCCACUAGCUAGAACACUUUAUGACACCGCCUGUCCCAGAAGUUCUGUGGGGCAGACAUGAAGGUAGAGGACUCUGGCCUCCACUGCUGAUGUGCUCUCACACACCUUUGAUCUUCUCUAGAACCUUCUAUCAGGUUUGCUUCUUCCCGAGGAAUAUCCUCUGGCUUCUUGCCAGCAAUCUGUCUCGAUGCUAUGGACUAAACUGCCCGUUAGCAAUUAGUCUGGACUUUAGUUGUUUUCGAAAGAUGAAUUGAGACGUAAUUUUCUAAUUAACAGUGGUUGUCAAAUAAAGGGGGACAAAGUCUCCGUCUGGGCCUCGAGAAGGCCACAGCAUGGCAGGCUGGAGCCUCUCGAGGAUAAAUGUGAGGAACCAGUGGCUCAGAAAGCAAUUAGCUUGUGGCUUCUGUUGCUGAUGGGGGAGCCGUGCAGAGCAGAGCGGGCCUGCUGGGGAGUGGAGCUCAGAUGGGGCGAGCUAUGGCGGUUGAGCUAGCAGAACGGAUGCAGGGACACACUCCAAGGACUCUCCGCACGUGCAUGCUCAUACUGCCAUCACGCCGUGUGAUGGAACACGUCUGAGUUUGUGUUGUUGGUGCCUGGGUUAAACAUGUAAUAGCUACCAAUGUCUGUUCUAGAUAAUAACCCUUGAAGGCACAAGGGUGAGAGAUAUUUGUCAUGGGGCUUACAGGCACAGGGGGACGUGUUUUCAGAAUGGUUACUCCCCGCGAGGCUGUCUUAACUCAAGCCUGGUGGUAUUUCUAAGGUGUCAUUUGUAUUAUUGCUUGUGUGACUCCUGGCUCCUCCUCCCUCUCCCCGCACGGAUGACUGAACCUAGCCGCUCACAUAAGACAGACGAGCCUUUCCCACAAAGCUGCUUCCCAACUCUCUUUUAACUUUUGUUUUGAAACAGGAGGUCACAGGUCAUGAACUCAUGGCCCCUCUGCCUCAACUUCCCAGAUAGCUUGGAUGACAGGCCUGUGCCACCGGGCCUGGCUGUGACUCUGCUUCCGCUUUCUCAAUGGUCCCCUUUGGUCAUGUGCUGAUGCCACAGGGCAACUAAUGUCACAGAGGACCUGGGGGAGGGGGACAUCUCAGUUUUGACUCUUGGCUCAGGGUCUGGCUGGCACCUCAGGCCUCCAUAUGUCUGCUUCUUUCAGGUCUCAGUAGGGACCUGACCAGACACAGAGGGCACUGGGGCAUCUAGAAAGGGCCAGUUUCUUACUUGAC